AUAAUGAUACUUCUGCGUAGUCACAGGCUGAGCGUUGAAGCGGGAUUUGUCCUCCCGUGAGCCGUCGCACCCAAUGAGCGCAGCGGGGCAGAAAGCCACCGGGGUGAGAGUCCCAUGA
rnacentral:ncRNA from 1 species